rnacentral:rRNA from 1 species
UACGUAGGGGGCAAGCGUUGUCCGGAUUUAUUGGGCGUAAAGAGCGCGUAGGCGGUUUGGUAGGUCCGUUGUGAAAACUCGAGGCUCAACCUCGAGACGCCGUUGGAAACCAUCAGACUAGAGUCCGGAAGAGGAGAGUGGAAUUCCUGGUGUAGCGGUGAAAUGCGUAGAUAUCGGGAGGAACACCUGUGGCGAAAGCGGCUCACUGGACCAUAACUGACGCUGAUGCACGAAAGCUGGGGGAGCAAACAGG